CAGUCGCCGCGGUAAUACGAAGGGUGCAAGCGUUAAUCGGAAUUACUGGGCGUAAAGCGUGCGUAGGCGGUGAGUUAAGUCUGCUGUGAAAUCCCCGGGCUCAACCUGGGAAUGGCAGUGGAUACUGGCUCGCUAGAGUGUGUCAGAGGAUGGUGGAAUUCCCGGUGUAGCGGUGAAAUGCGUAGAGAUCGGGAGGAACAUCAGUGGCGAAGGCGGCCAUCUGGGACAACACUGACGCUGAGGCACGAAAGCGUGGGGAGCAAUCAGGAUUAGAUACCCGUGUAGUCCCUGUCUCUUAUAC
rnacentral:rRNA from 1 species